rnacentral:rRNA from 1 species
AACGAACGCUGGCGGCAUGCCUAACACAUGCCAGUCGAACGAGACCUUCGGGUCUAGUGGCGCACGGGUGCGUAACGCGUGGGAACCUGCCCUUAGGUUCGGAAUAACUCCCCGAAAGGGGUGCUAAUACCGGAUAAUGUCUUCGGACCAAAGAUUUAUCGCCUUUGGAUGGGCCCGCGUUGGAUUAGCUAGUUGGUAGGGUAAAAGCCUACCAAGGCGACGAUCCAUAGCUGGUCGGAGAGGAUGAUCAGCCACACUGGGACUGAGACACGGCCCAGACUCCUACGGGAGGCAGCAGUGGGGAAUAUUGGACAAUGGGCGAAAGCCUGAUCCAGCAAUGCCGCGUGAGUGAUGAAGGCCUUAGGGUUGUAAAGCUCUUUUACCCGGGAUGAUAAUGACAGUACCGGGAGAAUAAGCUCCGGCUAACUCCGUG